rnacentral:ncRNA from 1 species
GAGGGUGGGCCCCUCGGAACCGCCUUACAGGAGGAGGUUUCAAACCGGUGUAUGCGGCUUUGGUAAAGAGCCAUGGUCGUGAGCGAUACAUUUAAAAGCCAGUCCAAAGGCUGGCAGGU